AUGGAUGUUCCUUAUGUUAUGGCUACCGAUACUAAUAUGAACAUAAGCUAGAACUAACCCAGAUGACUCGUCUCUUUUGUAAUGUAUAAACCAUCCCCUCAUUAAAACUACUGAACUCUUUGAUGUGAGCACUUAUUUAGAGCAAAUACAGAUAAGACUGCAUGUAAAUACGUACAAGCCAACAUAAAGCCAGUGAGCUCCUGCAAAGGGAAUAGUGUAAUGGAACGGAAGCGCAAUGGCUUCAUAAAGAGUGCUAUAUGUAGAAGAAAACCUACGGGUUUGAUGACUAUGAUUGAUUUAUGAGGGAGCUGAUGCAGAAUGCCACAAGGAUUAUUGCACCCAGACCAUCUGUUCCACACAAACCACCAUUACGUGAUACAGAGAAGGAGGUCAUCAUUGAAAUCUUAUGUCACCAUGGAUCCUUCCUGCUUGACAGAGGCAGAGGUGAAAUGUCUGUAAAUGAAAACAUGGCCACGGACAUAAAUGCAGUCGGCGGUCAUGCAGAAACUAUAAUCAGGUGCAGCACCGUGCCGUUGAUAUCAUUACAGCAGCACACAGAAGGGCAGCUGUAGUAACUACAGGGGAUUAUUGCACCCAGACCAUCUGUUCCACACAAACCACCAUUACGUGAUACAGAGAAGGAGGUCAUCAUUGAAAUCUUAUGUCACCAUGGAUCCUUCCUGCUUGACAGAGGCAGAGGUGAAAUGUCUGUAAAUGAAAACAUGGCCACGGACAUAAAUGCAGUCGGCGGUCAUGCAGAAACUAUAAUCAGGUGCAGCACCGUGCCGUUGAUAUCAUUACAGCAGCACACAGAAGGGCAGCUGUAGUAACUACAGGGGUGAGGAUGAUCCAACUACAAUACCACACUCACUGAAAGUGAGCAUUUCCUGUCCAUUGUCAGAGAUACAGACAGCUUGGCAAAGACCUCACACAGAAUCCUUGAUGUUGGUGCUGAUGUGGACAACAGACCAAGCGUGUCUCAAAAAGAAA